rnacentral:lncRNA from 1 species
AUGAAUAUGUACUUGGUAUCUGGAUCUGCAUGUGUUUUUAACUGGGGCUUCUGGCAGAAAAGUUCACACCAGAGAACACCUGGAGAACAAUGAUUAUCACCCACAUCUCCGCUCUUAUUUGAUAUGGACUUUUGCUUUAAGGGGACUCCCCUCCAGAAAAGGUUUCUCUCUCAAGAAACAAAAACAAAACUUUGUUGAAGACUCUCCUGCAGGAAAUCUUUUAGACAUAGGUGUUUAAAUUCUAAGAUGAUCAAAUAUUGGGCCAUUUCCAUCAUGUCGUGUUUAACAGUUUUGAGUUAAAAUAGAAUUAUUGUGUAAUAAAACAUUCUCCUGGU